rnacentral:rRNA from 1 species
GCGUUGUUCGGAAUUACUGGGCGUAAAGGGCGCGUAGGCGGCAUGGCAAGUCGGGGGUGAAAGGCCUGGGCUCAACCGAGGAACUGCUUUCGAGACUGCCAAGCUAGAGUGCGGAAGGGGCAUCUGGAAUUCCCAGUGUAGCGGUGAAAUGCGUAGAUAUUGGGAAGAACACCUGAGGCGAAGGCGGGAUGCUGGGCCGACACUGACGCUGAGGCGCGAAAGCCAGGGGAGCAAACGGG